AUGGAGGCCCACCAACGUCUACAAGAAGGUUGUGUAGUAGACAUCAGUUCUUCACUUCUGGCCCCUCUCAUCGAUCUUCGACGACGCGCCCAAUCAUGGGCCCGCGCGGACAAAGUUGUGCGUUGGAAUUUUGAACAUCACAAACCACCCUUUUCACUCAUAUAUAUUUGGACCACAUGCUGGUGUGGUUGCCUUCUGACCCUCUCUAAGAUUUUUUUUGCUGCAAAGACUCUGAUAACGCUCAACAGACACAGGUAUAAUGUCUUAACUGUGCGUGAUGCAAGUGCGCUUGAAUCACCACGACUACGCAAGCGCGAGCAAAGGUGGAUGUACUGGCUCAACCGUGUGCGAUGCAAGUGCGCUGUAAAAUCACCACAACUACGCAAGCGCAAGCCUAUUCAAGUGCGUUGUAAAAUCACCACGACUGCUCAAGCACGAGCAAAGGUGGAGGUACUGUGUUAA
rnacentral:rRNA from 1 species